GCGCUGGCCUCAUGCGGGGCGGGAGGAGCCGCUCGUUGGGAGUACGCGUUUGGGUAGCCGGAGCCUCGCUCUCACGCCAACGGUUUAUCCCAAGUGGGGCCUGCCUGAGCUCAUUUACAUAUUCCUACGUAACCCUGAACUCCCGUGCCCCGGCCGUCGCGCGGGGCUGAGCCUCCCCGCCGCCGUCGCGCCCCAGCUGGGCUCGGGCAGGCUCCAGGAGCCGGCGUGUCACUGCCCUGCUGGCGCAGCCUGACUCGCAGUGCAAAACGCAGUGAGGCGCUUGGGCUGUGCCAGUGUCUGCUGGGUCAUCUCAUGCAGCCGCCGCCCCUGGAGACUGGUCUGUGGCUUUGACAGUGGCUUUGGUGGUGUAAAAGGCGCAGCCCAUGCCUCAAAGAAAUUGCUAAAGAAAACAGCUCAGCGGCCUGGGAGGAAGAACUAGGAAUUCUGUGUGUGUCAGCUGCUGUUUUCCACAGUAUGCAUCCGAUGAAGUGAGCGGUAGCUCAGGAAAGCUCAUGCUCAAAUAAAUUGGUUAGUCUCUAAGGUGCCACAAAUACUUGUUUUCUGCUGGGCACCAGAGAAGUGCGUUGCCAGGCCCAUUCCCGAGAAGGGCCGCCAGCAGUUUCCUUGUAGAAACUUCCUGAUUUUGCAAGUUUGAAAAGAUGAGUGAGAAUAGCCAGAGGGUAUCGCUCUGAAUUUUGGUGCAAGAAUGAGUUACAUUGGGUAUAACACACCUGCUUAACUGGAUACACAGGCACUCAUCACUGUAAUGUCUGAGUGCUUCCCACACAUUAAUGAAUUUAUCUCCAUAUCGCCACUGCAAGAUAAGAGUAUUAUCUUCAUUUUAUAGAUGGGAAAAACAGACAAAGACUUCUCUGCAGGAACACAGUGAAUCAGGGGCAGAGCUAGGAUUAGAGCUCAGCACCACAAGAUUCCCAAGCCUGUGCCCACAUCUCCAUACCAAGCUCUCUUGUACUAUGAUGUCACUGACAAAAAGCUUGACACUGUGGGUUCCAAAUCCUGGACCCCAAACCAAGCUUCGCAGCCUGACUUGGCCUACGGGAGAGAGGAGCAUAGGACCCUCAGCGAAGAUCUACUGGAACCAGGAUUGCAGAUAAAGGAGUCGCUGGAAUCAGGAUAUAGGAACAGCAAGGAAGGAAGGAGAGAAAGAAAAGCAUAAAAAGUGAAGUUGAGGGAACAGUGACAAGAAAAAAAAAUCUUGAUUGCCUCAGAAGGAGGAAAAAAAAAAAAAGAUCACUGGUCUAUUACAGGAAUGCUGUGUAUUAUGAAAGCACCAGUCUUGGGUCCAUUUUUAAGGCCGAGUUCUGCACUUAAAUAAAGUAUUCUAAUACUAUGGUGAUAAUGAUGGUAUAAAAACACAGCUGGAUAGUGUUUAUAGGUUCUUAAGAAGAAAUAAUAUCUGAAUCAUAGCUUUUCUUCUCACUAGGCUUGGGAGGAUUAGAUCAUCAGUAAGUGACAGUAGAUGUUCAUUUCACCAGACACAUUAACAAAAAUUUACA